rnacentral:rRNA from 1 species
UACAGAGGUCCCGAGCGUUGUUCGGAUUCACUGGGCGUAAAGGGUGUGUAGGAUGCUUGGUAAGUCAGGUGUGAAAUCCCGCAGCUCAACUGCGGAACUGCAUUCGAUACUGCCGAGCUAGAGGAUCGGAGGGGGAAGCGGAAUUCUUGGUGUAGCGGUGAAAUGCGUAGAUAUCAAGAGGAACACCGGUGGCGAAGGCGGCUUCCUGGAAGAUACCUGACUCUGAAACACGAAAGCUAGGGGAGCGAAUGGG